AAAAUACGUCGAUAUAACGUGAUUCCUGUUACGUCUAUCGCACAUUAAAGUCACGUAAAUUCUUCAUUAGCUAUGCGGAAUGUUUUACGGUACACCACUGGCUUGUGUUGCAUUCGACGUGGAAAAAUGUUGGAUCUCAUUCAUUUCUAUUCAUCUCAGGGGCUCAGGAGCGGAAGGUAUUAAGAACGUAUGUUGCCCUUAACUUAAAUUCUCUUAAGCCAUGUUUCUGAUUUUUUAAGUGUAGAGUAGUUGUCGUUUUCACAGUUAUCUUACAAAGUGCGCGUUCAUUGUCAGGUAGAAGCGAAGGAAUUUAGCUAGUUUCCUCUAGUGGAUUAAUUUGUAUUGAUCAACAAGUGGUUGUUGGUAUUGAUUUGCGUUUACAUAGUUCAAUGUGUCUAGAAUUCUAAACUCAGGAAAAUUAUCAGUACUUUAUAGUGUGAUUAGUGCGUGGUGGGGAUAUGUAACUACACCUACAAUUGGUGUGCACUUAUUAUGCUUCAGCAAGGUUGUAAUUUAGCAACGACUGCUGGCCAAGAAUUGUUCCAAGGCUGAAUCGACCACAGUAUACCAAUGUGACUAGAUGAUAAACAAUUUGUCAUAAAAUCAGAGGAAAAUCCAUAUAAAAACACUUAAAAUGGGAUGUUGUUUUAUUUGUGACGCAUUAUCCUGCGUUAUGCGGAUUGUCUGCCUCGCAGUCCUACUGGCUAUUAUUUUAGUUAUAGUAUUCGUCGCCUUACUGGUAACUGGCAAAAUAGAACUGCACAAGAAGAGUUAAUAUUAUGGUGGUCGCGGUUUAAUAUAAAACAAUUGUGCAAAUAUGUUUUUUAGAGUUUUACAUGUAUUUAUAUGCGAUAUACUGCGAGUAGGCUAGGUUUUGUAUACAUUUUUUACAAGAAGGUAAAGGCCGCUGCAAUGGUAAGAUUCUACGUUUACAUAAGGUACUUGUAAUGUACUUAUAAUCAUUGCGAGCAUAAACCAGACUUUAAAACUAGACAGCAUGUAACACUUUCUCACACCAUGUGUUAAUAUUUUCUAAACUAUAACACGGUCUAUAAAUAUGAUAGGAAACUGCUUUUUAUCUUUCGCUUCUAUUUCAACUGAUUAUGUUGAGAUUGAUGACAAACCUUUCGUUCCGAACUGAACUAACUUGCAAGCAACUCUUGGCUUCAGACACAGCUGUAAAAAUCACCACAUCGAUUUAUGUGUCUUCUAAUGCAGAAUUUGUGUUUUUGAACGGGGAGUUUGAUGGUGGAUCGUCACAAUCAUUUUCCAACUUUAAGGGUACCGCCGUAGGUUCCUUUAAACUUGUAGCCAAAGCUGUCUUUGUAAAUGCGCUGCUUCUCAGCUGUCUUCUAACGUAGGUUUGAUGGUUUUCAUUUGGUUUCAAAGGUUAAACAAGCGAUAAAACUUCUAUAGUCAAGUCGUUCAUGUCUGAGAGUUUUGUUGUGCUAUUUAAAGCUAGUACUUCUUUUGUUUCUUCGAGAGAAUUGCCGUUUUGGAUGGCACGCUGGGUAGUCUCAUCAAAUGUGGUUCGACUUUCCGGAGCAUUCUGCUCACUUGUAGGGCAGCUGAAACAUGGGGUGUCGUACUUUCAAAAUUCUGGUUUGCCUUUUGUGUAGCCUCAUUAAAAAUGUUAACGCUUGCGAUAGACUUAAUUUUUUGUGCAUCAGUUGAAUCCUUCAAAACCAAGUCCAAGUGCGUCAACGGAUUUGAAUUUUUUUAAAUUACAUUGAUGUCGAUUUUCAGAGAUUAACGUUUAUAUUUCAUAAAAUCAUAUGUUGUUUAUCUAGUCCUGCCCAUUAUUUCAAUAGUUGUACAAAUUGUUUUAAAUAUAUUUUAUAUAUUAA